rnacentral:rRNA from 1 species
CGUAAACGAUGAGUGCUAAGUGUUAGGGGGUUCCGCCCCUUAGUGCUGCAGCUAACGCAUUAAGCACUCCGCUGGGGAGUACGACCGCAAGGUUGAAACUCAAAGGAAUUGACGGGGGCCCGCACAAGCGGUGGAGCAUGUGGUUUAAUUCGAAGCAACGUGAAGAACCUUACCAGGUCUUGACAUCCUUUGACAACUCUAGAGAUAGAGCUUUCCCUUCGGGGACAAAGUGACAGGUGGUGCAUGGUUGUCGUCAGCUCGUGUCGUGAGAUGUUGGGUUAAGUCCCGCAACGAGCGCAACCCUUAUUGUUAGUUGCCAUCAUUCAGUUGGGCACUCUAGCGAAACUGCCGGUGACAAACCGGAGGAAGGUGGGGAUGACGUCAAAUCAUCAUGCCCCUUAUGACCUGGGCUACACACGUGCUACAAUGGACAGUACAAUGAGCAGCGACACGGCGACGUGAAGCGAAUCUCAUAAAGCUGUUCUCAGUUCGGAUUGUAGGCUGCAACUCGCCUACAUGAAGCCGGAAUCGCUAGUAAUCGCGGAUCAGCACGCCGCGGUGAAUACGUUCCCGGGCCUUGUACACACCGCCCGUCACACCACGAAAGUUUGUAACACCCAAAGUCGGUGAGGUAACCUUCGGGAGCCAGCCGCCUAAGGUGGGAUAGAUGAUUGGGGUGAAGUCGUAACAAGGUAACCA